UUCUAUAUAACAGUGAAAUAGAAAACUUGGCAAACUUGGCUAGCAUACAUUCCAAGAUCUAGGAAUAUAUUCAAUAUUUAUAUCUUCAAAGGAAUUCAUCAUCUUUCAGAUAUCUUCACACAAGUAGUUUUUUUAUCUCCCAUGAGACCACUAUCCUUUUUCUUAUCAUAUCCACCACAUUUUUUGCGUCCGAUAGAAUAUGCACCUUUGACCAUCCAUUUUCUCUAACUUUUUCCAGAGCUUCACGAAUUGCUAGUACUUCAGCAGUAAUGGCUUUCCCAACAAAUUGAAUUGGGUGCCAAAGGCUUGAAGCAAAUUACCAUAGCUAUCCAUUGCCGCCACUCCAAUGCUUGCCAUCUUCUUUUCCAAUUGUAACCCAGCAUCUGCAAACAUAACAACACCAUCUUGUGCCACAGUGAUAUUUUUAUUAUAAGAAUAGUCAGAUGUGUGGGAAGGGGAAGAGAUAGUAAACAUAGAAUUUUCAUAUUCAUGAAAAUCAAAAAGUGCUUUGUUUACAAUUUCAUUAGGUUCACAUAUAUCCCAUUAAAAUUCAAUAAAUUUCUAGCCUUCCAAAUUUGCCACAUAAUUGAAAUGCUUAGUUUAACAAUUUCAAUAGAAUCAGGAUAUUUAUUAGCAUUAAUGAAUAAAAUGCCAUUUUGAAAUAGUUUUAGUAUAUAUAAAGAAAAAAUCAGUCGAAGUUUUCUUUCAAAUUUCUGAAUUAGAGGUCCAAAUUGACUCUACUGAUUAUCCUUUCUUUAAGAGAAUUAAAGAUCCAUGUACAUAUUUCAUAGGAUUCAACACAUUACUGAAGAUCAGAGGUUUCGAUAGUUCUGAUGUUCCUUCUUAUAUGCAAGGGUCUAUUAUUUGCUUUCUCUCGCUGUCGUUCUUCUUUCUUCUGAGUUUUCUACUUUUCUCUAAUUCCGUUUCCGCUCAAGUUUUGUUUUCAAUCUUCUGCUUCUCUGCUUAGUCCUCUUCUUUUUUGGUUUCUUUUGAAAUUUCUUGUGAACUUUUAGUUUCCUCUCUACUAAUUAGCAGCGAGUCAGUGAAUUUAUACCGCAUUUAAUUUGGAUAAACUUUUUGCGCUGCAGGUGUCAAGUCCUGUUUCACAUAAAAAUUUCAGGCUAUGAUUUUCUCUUAUUUUCAUCAAGUUACUCUUUGUGCUGCAUGUGUUAGCUUGGUUGUAUAUUAUUCUGGAAAUAUGAUCUCUUUUUUGAUAUUUUUGUUUUUUAGUUUUUGGUUUUUUCAUUUGUGACUUUGUUGCAAAUUGUAGCUUGGUUCAGUUUCUACACCAUUUUAAUGCUGGUUGUUUUGUUUGAUUUUUCAGGUAUUCAACAAUUUUUUGGAUGGUUGUAGUAUAUAUCUCCCUUUAGUUUUUCCUUCUUUUCUUGACCAGUCUUUGAGUUGUGUCAACUAAUGUUACUCUGUCCCUUUUUCUUGAAAUUCAAAUACGUUGGAGAUUAACAGGUAAACAUCGGAUAAACAUAAGUGGUGAGCUUCUAUUACUUAUGUCCAACGUUAGUUGUGAUAAUUGUGUCAAGGAAUAUCGCUUAUAUUAACCUUAUACUCACCGCUUUUUACUCUUGUAACUUCGACUGAUUUUUUCUUUAUAUAUACUAAAACUAUUUCAAAAUGGCAUUUUAUUCACUGAAAAAGCAUAAACCUUACAUCUCCCCUGCUGAAAAAUCGUAUGAGAUUUAGAGUCACACAUUAUACUAUUACAAAUCCAUACCUUGGCUCCUUUUAUCUAAAAAUCUUAGGUUACUCAACAACUCUAUGCAGUUAAUAAGCCACAGUUUAUAUACGUGAUGUUAGCCGAAAGUGAUUCUUUGGUGGACUGUUGUCAAUUUGUUAUCAUAAUAGUUUGAGAGAAUAUGGGAUCUUGGACUGUGAUGGUUUUAAGUUUUUAUUUUUGGUUGCAAAUUAAUACUAUCUUUUGUUUAUUGCUUUUCUUGAAGGAGAGAUAAAAAAGUUUACUUUGUGAGUUUAAAAGCUGUGAAAGCAGCCAUUAAUGCUUGCAUUAGGGUAGGUCGUUUACAUCACACCUCUUGGAGUGCGAUCCUUUUCCGGACCCUGCGUUAAUGCGGGAUACCGUACCUUGUGAACCGGCCUUCCCUUUUAGAAGUUUUGAGUUCUAGAACUUCAAAGAAGGAUAAGGCUUUCCAGAAAAUGGUCCAAACGUUUGCACCGUAAUGACUAAUUUUCAAGUUGUCUUCAAGGAAAAAUUAAAUUUGCAUUUAACAUAUGAAUCCUUUCUGGUACAUAUUGCUUUCCUUGUCAUUGAACUGAAAAACAAACGGUAAAAUACCUAUUAUAUUAAAAGAAGAAAAAUAGGUCCACACUUUUUGUUUUUAUAUAACAAUUUUUGCUCUUUAUUUUAAGCAUUUGAUUUGCUAUCUAAUUCUGUGCGCAAUUUGUUUAAUUGGCUGAUCGAAGUUGCCGGCGAGCAAAACAUAAUGUCAUCAAACAAUACAAAGUGAGAUCAAAAUCAACCACCUCCAAAAGUUAAUGGAUGGCUCCGUAGAGCUUAAGUUUCGACAGGCAUGGGAAUGUCGCUUGUGUACUCAUCUGAGGAAGUCUGGAAGAACAUAUGAUGGAUCUUGAAGCAGAGAAAGGGUAUACAUGAAUGCAAGAGAAACUAGAGAUGGAUCAUUUGUCCUCAGUUUUAAGGCAUUUGGUUAACAAUUGGAUAAUAUUUUUCGUAGCAAAUCCAGCUUUGGCUUUUCUUCUCAACGUGGAUAAUUGCAGAGUUUAAGUAAUUUGUUGCAUGUAACAUGUUAUAAGAAUUGUUAUGUAAAUGAUGGGGUUUUGAAACUAAAAAACUGCAAAUAUCUCUCUUCUCCAAUAUCAUAUCGAUGUACGGUUUAAUGAGUUAGAAACCAGAACCAUAGAUCAGAGAGGCGGCAUCUAAGAAAAGGCCUCGUAAUUUCAGUGGUUUUAGUUGUGCCUCAUCUAGAGGUAGGGGUUCAUUUGGUAGAGGCCAUCCUAUCGGACCGGUUCAGUCAGCAAUUCAGGCAUCACACGGUGCUUCAGGCAGUCGUGGUUCUUAUGGGUCUCAUCCUGAGCAGGUAGCCUACAAUGCACCUUCAGCUGCCAUCACUGCACUACCAAUUCAAAGCUACCACAGUGGUUAUCCAUACGGUCAGGGUCAGUCCUAGAUUCAGCAGCCACGUCAGCCGAGAGAGUGCUUUGAGUGUGGAGGUACGAGUCAUAUCAGGAGGUACUGCCCAAACUUCAGAGCAGUGUGCCUCAUCAUGGUUCUCGUGCCAUGAUUCAGCAACAGUUGCCCCACCGCCUGCUUAGGCAGCUAGAGGUGAGGGUCAGGUAGCCCGAGGUGAGGGUAAGGUUAUUGGAGUUGGAGGCUAGCCAGGGAGAGGCCGUCCGAGAGAUGGAGAUCAAACUGGUAGGAAUCAGCCCCGUUCUAUGCAUUCCCAGCUAGACAUAGCGGUAGAGUCCUCUGAUGCGGUCAUCACAUGUAUUAUUUC